AGACCUACGGGGCGCAGCAGUGGGGAAUAUUGGGCAAUGGGCGCAAGCCUGACCCAGCAAUGCCGCGUGAAGGAAGAAGGCUUUCGGGUUGUAAACUUCUUUGACAGGGGAAGAGCAGAAGACGGUACCCUGAAAACAAGCCACGGCUAACUACGUGCCAGCAGCCGCGGUAAUACGUAUGGUGCAAGCGUUAUCCGGAUUUACUGGGUGUAAAGGGAGCGCAGGCGGCGCGUUAAGCCUGGUGUGAAAGCCCGCGGCCCAACCGCGGGACUGCAUUGGGAACUGGCGCGCUGGAGUGCCGGAGG
rnacentral:rRNA from 1 species